rnacentral:tRNA from 1 species
UCCCCCGUGGUCCAACGGCAGGACGCCGCUCUUUGGAAGCGUGAGGUCGAGGUUCGAGUCCUCGCGGGGGAG